AAGGUGAAUUAUCUGCAAAGGCCCUGGGCUGAAACUCACAGAAAAAGGAGUGGCUGCAGUUACUAAGCAAGCCAUGGUUAGGAGUGAGGAAUGGAACUCCAAAGAAAGUCCCACCCAGGCCUCGGCACAGUAAUGAUGGGGCCUAGAUGUGUGAGAACCACGGACAUGAAGACCCUCUGGGAGAAAAGUUCAAGAUUUAAACAGUCGGCGAACACACCGGGCCAGAUUUUCAGAAGUGACCAUUAAUUUUGUGGGUUGUCAGUUUGAGACACUUCAGAGGACCCUGAUCUUUAGAAGCUUUGGUGCUGAUGCUCUUCCCAAUGGCCUUGGUCUCCUCACGCAGUUUGACAGGUUUAUGUUUGCCAUUCACAUUCUUCACUUGCCAGAAGACCCUGUCGGCAUUCACUUCAGCAAACACAAACUUGGAGUCAUACAGCAAAUAGACUUCUCCACUUCUGAUGGCUUUUAGUGGACAAGGGCCGCACUGGUAAACACCUAAAGAGUAUGUUGAAUGUUACUUGCUUUUCACAUGUAUUAAGUGAGGCUCCAUUUUCCUCAAUCACCACAUACACAUAAUAUCCCUGACCUCCCACAGCAGUGGCCCACCCCCAGGUAACUGAACCUGGCAAUAAAUAUUCCUCCACACUAGUUCUGAGCCCAAAACUUUUACGGUCCUUUAAGUAGCAGAUUUUUUACACGAUGAAAUGUGACUUGUAUCACUUGUAUGCUGCUAGGAAUCCUACCACAUUCUCCCCUAUGAAACCAGCUGCAGACAUGCAAUUUCUAAGCAGGUUUUACAAAGCAGCAAAAGAUUUCCAAAGCCCAAAAUCAUGGCACUUCCUGAGCACUUCCUGCGAGGUGCUGAGCACCCUCAAUUCCCAUUGACUAUAACGAGAGUUGACAGUGCUCAGCACCACACAGCACUGCAGGAUCAGGCUCUUUGUAUCUGUCUGCUUGUGCUAGAGUUCAGCAUAUUUCAGUUUGCAAUGAUAAUUCUAGGCCUUCUUUAUUUCAUCUCUUCUGACUCCUGCUACAGUUACACAGUUGCUGACUACUCUGUUCCCAAACCCGAAAUGGCAAAGGACAGCAUAUUAAAUAUCAUCUGUAACAAGGGCUAAUGCACAGGCCAACCCUUUGAAACCUGCUUUAUCUGUAGGAUCUAGAGAUGUAUGCUGAUGGAUGUUGGAAACUGACCCAAAAAGGUACAGGCUGAAAAAAGUGUGUCAGCAGAAUUUACUGUAAAAUAAAAAGAGUGCUUUGCCUUUC